rnacentral:rRNA from 1 species
CCUACGGGGGGCUGCAGUGGGGAAUGUUGCACAAUGGGCGCAAGCCUGAUGCAGCCAUGCCGCGUGUGUGAAGAAGGCCUUCGGGUUGUAAAGCACUUUCAGCGGGGAGGAAGGCGGUGAGGUUAAUAACCUCAUCGAUUGACGUUACCCGCAGAAGAAGCACCGGCUAACUCCGUGCCAGCAGCCGCGGUAAUACGGAGGGUGCAAGCGUUAAUCGGAAUUACUGGGCGUAAAGCGCACGCAGGCGGUCUGUCAAGUCGGAUGUGAAAUCCCCGGGCUCAACCUGGGAACUGCAUUCGAAACUGGCAGGCUAGAGUCUUGUAGAGGGGGGUAGAAUUCCAGGUGUAGCGGUGAAAUGCGUAGAGAUCUGGAGGAAUACCGGUGGCGAAGGCGGCCCCCUGGACAAAGACUGACGCUCAGGUGCGAAAGCGUGGGGAGCAAACAGGAUUAGAUACCCUUGUAGUC